CCGUCCUUCUAAUCUCAAGAGCACAGCCCCGCCUCGGGGGGGACAAACCGGCCGUACUGCACCGAAGGGCUGAGAGAGCUGGGGCUGUUCAGCCUGGAAAAGAGAAGGUUCUGCGGUCACCUCGGAGCAUCUUCCAGCGUCUGAAGGGGCUACAGGGAAGCUGGAGAAGGACUCUGCAUCAGGAACUGGACUGACAGCACAAGGGGGAAUGGCUUCAGACUACAUUGCUGGAAGUGUCCAAGCCAGGAUGGACAGGACUUGGAGCAACCUGGGAUAGUGGAAGGUGUCCCUGCCCAUGGCAGGGGUGGAAUAAGAUGAUCUUUAAGGUCCUUUUAACCCAAACCAUUCUGGAAUUCGAUGUUCUGAUUGUUCCUGAAUUGCAGCAGAAAGUCCACGCCUGGUUUGAGAUCCUAGGUUGAAAAUCCAAGGUGUGAGAAUUUGAGAUUGUGGUUAAAAGAUAAUUUGGUACCAACCGUGCUCCCAAUAAAAUUCAGCAUAUGCUUGCUUUA